AAAUAUCUAAACAUAGCCAGAGAAUGUUAAGUAAACAUGAUAUGCAGUACAUCCAAAAUAAAAAACAAAACAAUAGCGAGCUUGUUCUUAAGAUAAGAUAUUUAUCAAACAACAAAAAACCAAAAUUUACCAACUGUUACAAACCACAAGAUAAUGCCAAAGUAAAACAAACAAUAAGGAGAAUGACAGCAACAAACCAUGAACCAAGACAAUUUAUCAAUACUACUUCCAAGUUUCUUUCCUUGCUCCAUAGAUGCCAAAAUAGCUCAAGUUAUAAAAGCUAAAACAAGUGAGGAACUCAGACCCUAAUAAAACUAAUUCCAACCCAAAAUUGAUGGAAAAUCAAUUCCCUUCUUAGCUAACAUAUUUGCAAAAGAAUUGGCAAAUCUUAGAAUAUAAACAAAAUGAACACAAAAUUUAUUGAAGAAACGCCACCAUUUUCAUGGUCCUCUAUCCUUAAAAUUAACCCAACAAAUCACAUUAUAAGAAUUAGAUUCAACCAUCAAUGGACAAUCUUUGGGUUGUGAUUGAGCAAAUAAAUUAAUUGCUUUAAAAAUAACAACUCUACUUCAUUAGAGUCUAAGAUACCUGAGUAAUAAAAAAACCAAACACCUAACCUCCCCUUUUUCGUUUUUGAGCACUCCUUCAGCUCCAGAAGGUCCCGAUUUGCCUUUAGAAGAUCUAUCGAUGUUGAACUUAAAAACCCAAACUAGAGGAGAUUCUCAAAGCAUAAAAGAUGAAGCAACAGUACAAGCUGAUUCGGAUUUAUAAUAAGAAACCAAGAAAGUAUUAUAUAACCAAUCCUUUAGAUCCUAAGGGAGUGAAGUGCAAGAAGCUUUCAGAAUUUCAAAUGAUCUAAACUUAAUUUCAUCCAGAAGCUGCUCACCAUAAAAAGAAUCUAAAGAAAACACAACCUUGUUUCUCCUAAUCCAAAGAGACCAACAAGUAAUAAAGAAAAUUAAGAUCCAAGCAUUCUGUGCACCUUUUAACCUAAAUCAAUGAGAGAUCUUGGUAAAAUAGCUUUGAACUCCCACAAUUGAAGAUAGAAUACCAAAUUUUGCUAGCUAAC
rnacentral:lncRNA from 1 species